GCCUUCGUGGGGUAGUGAUCAGCAAGCUCGGCUCGUAUUCGAGAGGUCCGUAGUUCGAAUCUCGGCAAGGGCA
rnacentral:tRNA from 1 species